rnacentral:rRNA from 1 species
GUGGGGAAUUUUGGACAAUGGGCGCAAGCCUGAUCCAGCAAUGCCGCGUGCAGGAAGAAGGCCUUCGGGUUGUAAACUGCUUUUGUACGGAACGAAAAGGCUCUGGUUAAUACCUGGGGCUCAUGACGGUACCGUAAGAAUAAGCACCGGCUAACUACGUGCCAGCAGCCGCGGUAAUACGUAGGGUGCAAGCGUUAAUCGGAAUUACUGGGCGUAAAGCGUGCGCAGGCGGUUUUGUAAGACAGACGUGAAAUCCCCGGGCUGAACCUGAGAAUGGCGUUUGUGACUGCAAAGCUGGGGUGCGGCAGAGGGGGAUGGAAUUCCGCGUGUAGCAGUGAAAUGCGUAGAUAUGCGGAGGAACACCGAUGGCGAAGGCAAUCCCCUGGGCCUGCACUGACGCUCAUGCACGAAAGCGUGGGGAGCAAACAGGAUUAGAUACCCUGGUAGUCC